rnacentral:rRNA from 1 species
CCACGCCGUAAACGAUGUCGACUUGGAGGUUGUGCCCUUGAGGCGUGGCUUCCGGAGCUAACGCGUUAAGUCGACCGCCUGGGGAGUACGGCCGCAAGGUUAAAACUCAAAUGAAUUGACGGGGGCCCGCACAAGCGGUGGAGCAUGUGGUUUAAUUCGAUGCAACGCGAAGAACCUUACCUGGCCUUGACAUCCAGAGAACUUAGCAGAGAUGCUUUGGUGCCUUCGGGAACUCUGAGACAGGUGCUGCAUGGCUGUCGUCAGCUCGUGUUGUGAAAUGUUGGGUUAAGUCCCGCAACGAGCGCAACCCUUAUCCUUUGUUGCCAGCGGCUCGGCCGGGAACUCAAAGGAGACUGCCGGUGAUAAACCGGAGGAAGGUGGGGAUGACGUCAAGUCAUCAUGGCCCUUACGGCCAGGGCUACACACGUGCUACAAUGGCGCAUACAAAGAGAAGCGACCUCGCGAGAGCAAGCGGACCUCAUAAAGUGCGUCGUAGUCCGGAUUGGAGUCUGCAACUCGACUCCAUGAAGUCGGAAUCGCUAGUAAUCGUAGAUCAGAAUGCUACGGUGAAUACGUUCCCGGGCCUUGUACACACCGCCCGUCACACCAUGGGAGUGGGUUGCAAAAGAAGUAGGUAGCUUAACCUUCGGGAGGG